rnacentral:rRNA from 1 species
AACGAACGCUGGCGGCAGGCUUAACACAUGCAAGUCGAACGCUCCGCAAGGAGAGUGGCAGACGGGUGAGUAACACGUGGGAACGUACCCUUUACUACGGAACAACUCCGGGAAACUGGAGCUAAUACCGUAUGUGCCCUUCGGGGGAAAGAUUUAUCGGUAAAGGAUCGGCCCGCGUAGGAUUAGCUAGUUGGUGGGGUAAAGGCCUACCAAGGCGACGAUCCAUAGCUGGUCUGAGAGGAUGAUCAGCCACAUUGGGACUGAGACACGGCCCAAACUCCUACGGGAGGCAGCAGUGGGGAAUAUUGGACAAUGGGCGCAAGCCUGAUCCAGCCAUGCCGCGUGUGUGAUGAAGGCCUUAGGGUUGUAAAGCACUUUCACCGGAGAAGAUAAUGACGGUAUCCGGAGAAGAAGCCCCGGCUAACUUCGUGCCAGCCGCCGCAGUAA